UAACUCUCCUUGACUCUAAGUUGUUCUCAUUUAUGCCCCAAGGCCUUCAAAUCAACAGUAAUCUUUCACCUGGUCAUGCGGGUCCAUCAAUCCAUGCUAUGGAAGAAAUUUCUAAGAAUAGGUCUGAAGAUGAUUAUCAUACUGGUCUCAAUGAGAAGAACUACCUCAACUCUGAAGAAGGCUAGCCCAAGAGUGAACAAAGCACGAGAGAAAUUCCUCUAAAUUGUUAAUCAUUUGGCUAUUUCUAGCAUUUCAUUUGUAUUUUCUUUUCAUGUUAAGUACUUA
rnacentral:lncRNA from 1 species